rnacentral:misc_RNA from 1 species
ACUAGAGUAACACAACAUAGAGAGUGCAUGUAGAGGUAAAUGA